rnacentral:rRNA from 1 species
CGGGACACGUGGUAUCCUGUCUGAAUAUGGGGGGACCAUCCUCCAAGGCUAAAUACUCCUGACUGACCGAUAGUGAACCAGUACCGUGAGGGAAAGGCGAAAAGAACCCCGGCGAGGGGAGUGAAAAAGAACCUGAAACCGUGUACGUACAAGCAGUGGGAGCACGCUUAGGCGUGUGACUGCGUACCUUUUGUAUAAUGGGUCAGCGACUUAUAUUCUGUAGCAAGGUUAACCGAAUAGGGGAGCCGAAGGGAAACCGAGUCUUAACUGGGCGUUAAGUUGCAGGGUAUAGACCCGAAACCCGGUGAUCUAGCCAUGGGCAGGUUGAAGGUUGGGUAACACUAACUGGAGGACCGAACCGACUAAUGUUGAAAAAUUAGCGGAUGACUUGUGGCUGGGGGUGAAAGGCCAAUCAAACCGGGAGAUAGCUGGUUCUCCCCGAAAGCUAUUUAGGUAGCGCCUCGUGAAUUCAUCUCCGGGGGUAGAGCACUGUUUCGGCAAGGGGGUCAUCCCGACUUACCAACCCGAUGCAAACUGCGAAUACCGGAGAAUGUUAUCACGGGAGACACACGGCGGGUGCUAACGUCCGUCGUGAAGAGGGAAACAACCCAGACCGCCAGCUAAGGUCCCAAAGUCAUGGUUAAGUGGGAAACGAUGUGGGAAGGCCCAGACAGCCAGGAUGUUGGCUUAGAAGCAGCCAUCAUUUAAAGAAAGCGUAAUAGCUCACUGGUCGAGUCGGCCUGCGCGGAAGAUGUAACGGGGCUAAACCAUGCACCGAAGCUGCGGCAGCGACGCUGAUGCGUUGUUGGGUAGGGGAGCGUUCUGUAAGCCUGUGAAGGUGUGCUGUGAGGCAUGCUGGAGGUAUCAGAAGUGCGAAUGCUGACAUAAGUAACGAUAAAGCGGGUGAAAAGCCCGCUCGCCGGAAGACCAAGGGUUCCUGUCCAACGUUAAUCGGGGCAGGGUGAGUCGACCCCUAAGGCGAGGCCGAAAGGCGUAGUCGAUGGGAAACAGGUUAAUAUUCCUGUACUUGGUGUUACUGCGAAGGGGGGACGGAGAAGGCUAUGUUGGCCGGGCGACGGUUGUCCCGGUUUAAGCGUGUAGGCUGGUUUUCCAGGCAAAUCCGGAAAAUCAAGGCUGAGGCGUGAUGACGAGGCACUACGGUGCUGAAGCAACAAAUGCCCUGCUUCCAGGAAAAGCCUCUAAGCAUCAGGUAACAUCAAAUCGUACCCCAAACCGACACAGGUGGUCAGGUAGAGAAUACCAAGGCGCUUGAGAGAACUCGGGUGAAGGAACUAGGCAAAAUGGUGCCGUAACUUCGGGAGAAGGCACGCUGAUAUGUAGGUGAAGCGACUUGCUCGUGGAGCUGAAAUCAGUCGAAGAUACCAGCUGGCUGCAACUGUUUAUUAAAAACACAGCACUGUGCAAACACGAAAGUGGACGUAUACGGUGUGACGCCUGCCCGGUGCCGGAAGGUUAAUUGAUGGGGUCAGCGCAAGCGAAGCUCUUGAUCGAAGCCCCGGUAAACGGCGGCCGUAACUAUAACGGUCCUAAGGUAGCGAAAUUCCUUGUCGGGUAAGUUCCGACCUGCACGAAUGGCGUAAUGAUGGCCAGGCUGUCUCCACCCGAGACUCAGUGAAAUUGAACUCGCUGUGAAGAUGCAGUGUACCCGCGGCAAGACGGAAAGACCCCGUGAACCUUUACUAUAGCUUGACACUGAACAUUGAGCCUUGAUGUGUAGGAUAGGU